rnacentral:rRNA from 1 species
AUUGAACGCUGGCGGCAGGCCUAACACAUGCAAGUCGAGCGGUUGACGGGAGCUUGCUCCCUGAUUCAGCGGCGGACGGGUGAGUAAUGCCUAGGAAUCUGCCUACUAGUGGGGGACAACGUUCCGAAAGGAACGCUAAUACCGCAUACGUCCUACGGGAGAAAGCAGGGGACCUCCGGGCCUUGCGCGAAUAGAUGAGCCUAGGUCGGAUUAGCUUGUUGGUGAGGUAAUGGCUCACCAAGGCGACGAUCCGUAACUGGUCUGAGAGGAUGAUCAGUCGCACUGGAACUGAGACACGGUCCAGACUCCUACGGGAGGCAGCAGUGGGGAAUAUUGGACAAUGGGCGAAAGCCUGAUCCAGCCAUGCCGCGUGUGUGAAGAAGGUCUUCGGAUUGUAAAGCACUUUAAGUUGGGAGGAAGGGUUGUAGAUUAAUACUCUGCAAUUUUGACGUUACCGACAGAAUAAGCACCGGCUAACUCUGUGCCAGCCGCCGCGGUAAAAC